AUUAUCUUAAUUACUAAACAAAAUAUUUAAUCACUAAUCCAGAUUUCUAACAUUAAUACGUAAAGGAUAGAUUUGCCAUUAAAAAAAUUUGAGUUCAGGGGAUAUUUGAUUUUGGUAUUUCACAACCUUUCUUUGUCUUUAUCGAAUAUGCUUAAAAUCAGCGUUCAUCUUUUUUGUUGAGCAAAUCAGGGUGGGCUAGAGAUUUUAUCUAGCUGAUAUUUAUGCCGGCGUGCCAUAGCCUCGACACAACCCGUAUUUUUUUAUUUUAUUUGAAGCAUGAUGACACAACCCAUAUAAGUGGGCUAAAGAUUUUGGUACAUCAAAGUGUAUCGCACAAUUGGACCGAGUCAAACCUAACUGCAGACUAAGAUGGGACUACAAAGAUCUAUCACUUUUUAUGCUCUUGUCGUACUUUCAGCUUGCGAUAGAAAUACUCGAUGUUUUACUAAAAUCAACACUAGUAAAAAAAUAAAGUUUGUGAAGAACUCCAUCAAAUCAACUAGGAAAGGAGGGACAACUGGUUGUUUAGGAUUAAGGGGUUUUUGAGGAAGAUUUGUAGUCUUGGAUUUGCCUACCUUCUAAUUUUAUUUCUGGGCGGAUUCUCCAAGAGGGAUUAGGGCUUCGUUGGAUUCUUCAGGCUCUAGAAUCCGCGGGAAUAGGAUGGACAAUAC